AGAGAAACACACUCCACCGCUUCAAGGCCAAUCACAAAAAGAAUCACAUGGACUUAAUUGAAGGUAUCUGGAGGGAGUUUUUAGAUCCUUUCGAUGGCGAUUCAGAAGAUCCCCCCGGUCACCUGGCCUCCAGCCACAGUGACUGUUCUCCAGGUGACGCGAAUGGUACUGGGCCUUCCCACGCGCUCCGGUGCGGGCGUCCGGG